rnacentral:rRNA from 1 species
UUGGAUCCUGGCUCAUGAUGAACGCUAGCGGCAGGCYUAACACAUGCARGUCGAGGGGUAGAAGUCUUCGGGCUUUGAGACCGGCGCACGGGUGCGUAACGCGUAUGCAAUCUGCCUUCCACAGAGGGAUAGCCCAGAGAAAUUUGGAUUAAUACCUCAUAGCAUUGCAAAAGGGCAUCCUUUAGCAAUUAAAGUCACAACGGUGGAAGAUGAGCAUGCGUCCCAUUAGCUAGUUGGUAAGGUAACGGCUUACCAAGGCUACGAUGGGUAGGGGUCCUGAGAGGGAGAUCCCCCACACUGGUACUGAGACACGGACCAGACUCCUACGGGAGGCAGCAGUGAGGAAUAUUGGUCAAUGGGCGCAAGCCUGAACCAGCCAUGCCGCGUGCAGGAUGACGGUCCUAUGGAUUGUAAACUGCUUUUGUACGGGAAGAAACCCUCCUACGUGUAGGAGCUUGACGGUACCGUAAGAAUAAGGAUCGGCUAACUCCGUGCCAGCAGCCGCGGUAAUACGGAGGAUCCAAGCGUUAUCCGGAAUCAUUGGGUUUAAAGGGUCUGUAGGCGGUCUUGUAAGUCAGUGGUGAAAGCCCAUCGCUCAACGGUGGAACGGCCAUUGAUACUGCUGGACUUGAAUUAUUGGGAAGCAACUAGAAUAUGUAGUGUAGCGGUGAAAUGCUUAGAGAUUACAUGGAAUACCAAUUGCGAAGGCAGGUUGCUACCAAUGGAUUGACGCUGAUGGACGAAAGCGUGGGUAGCGAACAGGAUUAGAUACCCUGGUAGUCCACGCCGUAAACGAUGGAUACUAGCUGUUGGGCGCAAGUUCAGUGGCUAAG